rnacentral:rRNA from 1 species
CUCAGUAACGGCGAGUGAAGCGGCAAAAGCUCAAAUUUGAAAUCUGGCACUUUCAGUGUCCGAGUUGUAAUUUGUAGAAGUAGUUUUGGGACUGGUCCUUAUCUAUGUUUCUUGGAACAGGACGUCAUAGAGGGUGAGAACCCCGUAUGAUGAGGCCCCCAGUCCUUUGUAAAACGCUUUCGAAGAGUCGAGUUGUUUGGGAAUGCAGCUCUAAGUGGGUGGUAAAUUCCAUCUAAAGCUAAAUAUUGGCGAGAGACCGAUAGCGAACAAGUACAGUGAUGGAAAGAUGAAAAGAACUUUGAAAAGAGAGUGAAAAAGUACGUGAAAUUGUUGAAAGGGAAGGGCAUUUGAUCAGACAUGGUGUUUUGCGCCCUUUGCUCCUUGUGGGCGGAGGAUACGCAGCUCACUGGGCCAACAUCAGUUUUGGGAGCAGGAUAAAUCUGUAGGAACGUAGCUUUCUUCGGGAAGUGUUAUAGCCUAUGGGAAUACUGCUACCUGGGACUGAGGACUGCGUCUUUUGACAAGGAUGUUGGCAUAAUGGUUAAAUGCCGCCCGUCUUGAAACACGGACCA